rnacentral:lncRNA from 1 species
AGAGGUGGAUCACAAGGAUCUCUUAAAUACCAAGUCUUUCCUUAGUCAGAAUAUCCCUUCUAUAGUAAUUUAAUAGCACAAUUAAAUACUACUAUUAUACCCUCAAAUAUUGAAAGAAAAUAGGACAAGAAAGAACACAAGAGUUUUAACGAGGUUCGGUAAAUUAUACCUACGUCUUCGGGCACUAACACCAGAUGAUAACUUUACUAUCUCCAAAAUAUUACAAACAAAUAGAAUUCCUUAAGAAUUCUCAAAUGGGAGAAGAGAGAAAACUAAGAGAGAAAGAUUGGUUAGGAUGGUUGAAAUGAAAAUGAUUAGGCCUAUUUAUAGUUGAGGAUCAGGGACCAACUUGCAAAUGGCCUAAAAAAUUAGAGACCAAAAUUGUAAUUAUCCCAUUCAACUUUAAACAACUUGCCUAUCACUUUUUCUUUCGGUGCCAAUUGCACCUCCCAUUUUUGACUUUUCAACACCCCCUUAAUUGACUUUUCAACAAUCUCCACCUUAAAGAUUUAAUUAGGAUAAUCACAUCUUCACACACUUCCUUCAACUCCCCAUAUUCGAUAAAGCUAUCUUUUGUAGUGCCUCCAAAUGCGCUCUCAAGCGCCAUACACCUGAAGGUGCUCAAAUUCUCAGGAUGUUAAUCAAGUUCAAACAAUGAUUAAACUUGAUUGUUGUUACCACCUUGGCCAUCAUAUCUGCGGGAUUAUCUGUUGUCGGAAUCUUCUGAAGUAGAAUUUUUCCUUUUUCAAAGACUUCCCGCACAAAGUGAUAUCUUACGUCGAUAUACUUGGUUCUUGAAUGAUAGACUUGAUUUUUCGCUAAAUGAAUAGCGCUCUGACUGUCACAAUAUAGACUAAUGUGACUUUGAACAACUCCCAAGUCUUUCAACAAUCCAUUAAGCCAAAUAGCCUCCUUAACAGCUUCUGUAACUGCCAUAUAUUCUGCCUCUGUAGUAGACACUGCUACUGUAGACAGUAAGGUAGACUUCCAACUCACUGGGCUUUCGCAAGAGUAAACAGAUACCCCGUAGUUGACCGACGUUUACCUAAAUCACCAGCAAAGUCGGAAUCAACAUAUCCAACUACAAACUGACCAAGUGCUUCAUCCUGUUCAAAAAUUAAACCAACAUCUACGGUUUUUUUGAAGAUACCGUAGAAUUCAUUUCACAGCUUGCCAAUGUCCUUUUCCAGGAUCAUGCAUAUACCUGCUCACAACUCCAACAACUUGUGAAAUGUCAGGCCGCAUACACACCAUCGCAUACAUCAAACUUCCAACUGCAUUAGCAUAUGAGACUUUUGUCAUAUAUUCUCUUUCUUCUUCAGUUUUCGGAGAUAAUUGAGCACUAAGUUUCAAAUGAGAAGCAAGUGGGGUUACAUGUUUUGUGUUUUCAUUUACACCAAAACAUUGUAAUAUCUUUUCUAGAUAUUGCUUCUGAUUAAAACAAAGCUUGCCUUUCUGUCUAUCUCUACUUAUCUCCAUGCCGAGAAUCUUCUUGGCCUCACCUAGAUCUUUCAUCUCGAACUCUUGAUUCAACUGAGCCUUCAGCUUAUCUAUCUCUUUUUGGCUCUUCGAAGCGAUUAACAUAUCAUCAACAUACAAGAGUAGAUAAAAGAAAGAUCCGUCAUGCAGCUUCUGCAAAUACACACAAUUUUUAUAUUUGCUUCUUGUGUACUUCUGCCUUCUCAUAAAGCUAUCAAAUCGCUUGUACCACUGCCUCGGGGAUUGCUUCAAUCCAUAUAGCGAUUUGUUCAGCUUACAAACCCAAUUUCUACCACCAGCAUCUGUGUAUCCUUCGGGCUGAGUCAUAUAGAUCUCUUCUUCUAACUCACCAUGCAAGAAAGCCGUCUUAACAUCAAGUUGAGCUAGCUCUAAAUUCAACUAUGCUACCAAGGCCAAUAAAAUUCUGAUGGAGGAAUGCUUCACAACAGGGGAAAAUACAUCAUUGUAGUCAAUUCCCUCCUUCUGAGCGUAGCCUUUAGCUACCAAUCUUGCCUUGUAGCGAAUAUCUUUCUUGCUAGGAGAUCCAUCUUUCUUUGCGAAUACCCACUUGCAUCCGAUUGCCCUUUUACCUUUCGGUAAUUACGCCAACACCCAAGUAUUGUUCUUCCGGAGAGACUGCAUUUCUUUAUCCAUGGCGCUUUUCCAUUUAUCACUUUCUAAGCUUUGCAUUGCUUCUUGAUCAGUGAUAGGAAUAUCAUCAUCAACAACGGGAAGGGCGUAGGCCACCAUAUCAGUAAAUCGAGCAGGUCUACGAAUUUCACUCCGUGGCCUUGCAACUGCAACUGGUUCUGGUGUACUUAACGGUUCUUGGGUCAGAAUCUCUUCAACCUCUAAUUCCUCCAUUGUGUCUGGAGAAUUAGACUUAUUAACUGGGCAAAUCCCCAUCUGCUCAAACUCCACCUGUUUUGGAUACACUCCACCUGCUGUGGAGUAUCGUUCGUCUGAAUAUCUUUAUCUGUUACCUUUUUCAAUGUGGCAGAUUCAUCAAAGGUAACAUCUCUGCUACAGAUCAUUUUCUUUGUGUCUAAGCACCAAAGACGAAAUCCCUUCACUCCUGAAGUGAUUCCCAUAAAGAGAGCUUUCUUUACCCUCGGAUCUAACUUUGACUCCUUCACAUGGUAAUAUGUAGUAGAUCCAAACACAUGUAAGGAAUCAUAAUCUGUAGUCGGUUUUCCAGACCAUACCUCCAUAGGAGUUUUUCUUUCUAAUGCAGAUGAUGGCAAACGAUUAACAAGAUGGCCAGCGUAUGUCACAGCCUCAGCCCAAAAUUGCUUGCCCAACCCAGCAUUGGACAACAUACAUCGAACUUUCUCUAGCAAUGUUCGAUUCAUACGCUCUGCCACUCCAUUCUGCUGUGGUGUAUCCCUAACUGUGAAGUGUCGAACAAUACCAUACUCUUGGCACACAUCGAAGAACGGAUCACUUUUAUAUUCCCCUCUAUUGUCCAUCCUAAGCCGCUUGAUUUUCUUGCCAGUCUGGUUUUCGAUCAUAUUUUUCUAUUUAAGAAAAACUCCAAGUACUUCGUCCUUAGUUCUCAUGGUAUACACCCAAACUCUUCUGGAAAAGUCAUCAACAAAAGUAACAAAGUAGUGUUUUCCUCCCAACGAAGGUGUUUUGGAAGGCCCCCACACAUCUGAGUGAAUAUAUUCCAAAAUACCUUUUGUAUUAUGGAUAGCAGUGCCGAAUUUUACUCUUUUUUGCUUUCCCAGAAUACAAUGCUCGCAAAAUUUUAAUUUGCAAGCCUUUGCACCUUUCAACAAUCCUUGCUUUGCCAGAAUUUGUAAGGAUUUUUCGCUGGCAUGUCCCAACUUCAUAUGCCACAACUGCAUUGAGUCCAAUUCUUUGUUACCGAAAGCUGCAGCGAUUGCUCCAAUAACUGUACUACCUUGGUAGUAAUACAAGUUAUUUUUCCUGAUGCCCUUCAAUAUCACAAGUACGCCAGAUGUCACUUUUAAAACCCCAUCUCUCAUAGUAACAACUGAACCAUUGGAUUCCAAGGCUCCCAAUGAGAUGAGAUUUUUCUUCAAACUGGGCACGUACCGAACAUCAGUCAGAACUCUGGUUGAUCCAUCUUGAUUCUUUAAUUGGAUUGAACCUAUCCCAACAGUUUUACAGGCAUUGUCAUUGCCCAUAUAAACAACUCCUCCAUUUAGUUCUACUAAAUCAGAGAACCACUCCCGGUUAGGAGACAUAUGAUAGGUACAACCCGAAUCCAAUAUCCACUCAUCUGAAUGGAACGACAAUGAUGAUGCAACCGGUGAUAGUUCAGAGUCACUGGUAUCAUGCUUUGCAACACAAGCAUCUAUAACAGCUUUUCCCUUAUUCUUCAACUUUGGACAAUUUUUCUUCUAGUGGCCUUUCUCAUGACAAAAGGCACAUUCAUGUUUCCUGAGUCUGGACUUUGACUUUGAUCUCCCUUUCUGAGUUUUCUUCCGAGUGUAUGAACGACCUCGGAUUACUAAAGCUUCUGUAUCUCUGAUUGAGUUUUUCUGUUUGUCCUUCUUUCUUUGUUCAUAACUGUAUAAGGUCGCACAGACUUCGCUCAGAGAUAUAUCACUCCUGCCAUGAAGUAGAGUAGUUUCUAGGAACUUAAACUCCUUAGGAAGUGACCCCAACAGCAUCAAAGCCAAAUCUUCAUCUUUGAAUGUCUCAUCCGUAUUUAGCAAAUCAGUGACUAACUAAUUAAAUUUGGUGAUGUGAUCAUUCAUUGUGGUACCUAGGACGUAAGUGAAGCGAAACAGUCUUUUCUUCAAGUGGAGCUUAUUUUGACUGUUUUUCUUCAAAAAAUUUUCUUCAAGUGCCACCCACAACUUAUUUGCAGAAGUCUCCUUUGAAAAAGCAUACCUCUGCUCUCGAGAAAGGCAUGAUCGAAUUGUGCCACAUGCCAACCGAUUGAUCGCCUUCCAAUCUUUCUCUUGCACAUCAUCUGGUUUCUCUUCAUCAAUGGCAAUGUCUAGACCCUGCUGAAAAAGGGCAUCUAGAACCUCACUUUGCCACAUACCAAAAUGGCCCGUGCCAUCAAAGAUCUCCACGGCCAAUCUUGCAUUUGCAAUUUUCGGUCUUGUCCACAUAGACGAUGUUGAAGCUCCUACACCGACCGUUUUCUCCAUAAUCUUUCAAUAUACCUAACGAAAUCUUUUCUGAUGUGGAACAUCAGUUUAAACUGCAACCACAGAGCAUACUACGAUUAACCUUCGACUCUUGAUACCACUUGUAGUUCCAAUAGGGUCGGAAGCGUGUAAAUUAUUGUGCUAAAAAAUCACACAAAGUUCAAUUCCCAGGGAAGAGAGGUGGAUCACAAGGAUCUCUUAAAUACCAAGUCUUUCCUUAGUCAGAAUAUCCCUUCUAUUGUAAUUUAAUAGCACAAUUAAAUACUACUAUUAUACCCUCAAAUAUUGAAAGAAAAAUAGGACAAGAAAGAACACAAGAGUUUUAACGAGGUUCGGUAAAUUAUACCUACGUCCUCGGGCACUAACACCAGAUGAUAACUUUACUAUCUCC